rnacentral:rRNA from 1 species
GUUGUAUGGUUAAGUGACUAAGCGUACACGGUGGAUGCCUGGGCAGUCAGAGGCGAUGAAGGACGUACUAACUUGCGAUAAGCGCAGAUAAGGCAGUAAGAGCCGUUUGAGUCUGCGAUUUCCGAAUGGGGAAACCCAACUGCAUAAGCAGUUACUGUUAACUGAAUACAUAGGUUAACAGAGCAAACCGGGGGAACUGAAACAUCUAAGUACCCCGAGGAGAAGAAAUCAACCGAGAUUCCGGUAGUAGCGGCGAGCGAACCUGGAUUAGCCCUUAAGCACUCGGUGAAGUAGGUGAACAAGCUGGAAAGCUUGGCGAUACAGGGUGAUAGCCCCGUAACCGACGCUUCAUCGAGCGUGAAAUCGAGUAGGGCGGGACACGUGAUAUCCUGUCUGAAUAUGGGGGGACCAUCCUCCAAGGCUAAAUACUCCUGACUGACCGAUAGUGAACCAGUACCGUGAGGGAAAGGCGAAAAGAACCCCUGUGAGGGGAGUGAAAUAGAACCUGAAACCGUGUACGUACAAGCAGUAGGAGCACCUUCGUGGUGUGACUGCGUACCUUUUGUAUAAUGGGUCAGCGACUUAU